ensembl:lncRNA
AUGGGCCUUGUCCUCUCUUUUUCUUGAAGAAGACAGCAUGGUGGGAAGGUGGAUCUACUCAGAAAUGGCUAGUUACCAGUGGGUUUUUACUCUCCCAGAAAUGCAAGCCACUUCCUCCACAAUCCGGCACAAGGCGCUUUGGCUUUAUCUCUGGGCUGAAUCCCCGGAAGGGAGGGCUUCUCACUGCAUGCCCGUCUCUGCCUUUGAGCCAGGCCUAUAAAAGCAGCUUCUGGCUCAGUGAAGGCGGCUGUGCCCACAUAUGGGCAAAGGUUCCUGCCACUCCCACGGCAAGAGUUUCGGACCGGGGAAGAGGACAGAAGCGCUGAGUCCACAGCCUCCUGUCUUGCCCAGAGCUGUCUACUAUCCGCAGUCUGGGACGUAGGAGGAGGAAAAGAAUCCAGUCCAGGAUUUGGUGCAGAUCCGCUCACCUGUAUCUGGAGUUCACCUUUCACAAAAGGUGGCAUUGGCAUUCCGAAAACCUGGGAUGGAUUCUCGGCUCCCGGGACUUCGCAGAGCGGUUUCUUCUAAGCGCAGUUCUGAAAGUGGUCGCUAGAUGUCGCCCUGACCGCAGUCAAGCGAUCCUGGGGAAAAGUGGCGGAUUCCUGCGCGGGCGCGCAAAGAUGCCUUUUUGGGGGGGACUCAUCACCGGAAACGCGCCGCAAAAGUGUGUUGUGUUUUGCAACCAAGAGGUUUAAAACAAACAAACAAAGGACCCGGAGCAUCGUUUCUUGCAGCCAGCUCUCUUGAUCCAAAGCUGCGACUUAUUUGCACCAAGGAUCUCACGUUUCCUAUGGCAAGCUUGCGCGCGUUUACGCAGGAGUAAAUGUUUCCUAUGCUUUCGGUGCGACUUCAAUCGCAAAUGUACCCCAUCCACCUCCAGAAUUAAACGGCAUAUUAAUGCAAAAAACAUAGAAACAAAAAACAGGCACUAUUUGAUGAUGAUGAUGAUGAUGAUGAUGAUGAUGAUGAUGAUGAUGAUGAUGAUGAUGAUGCACAAUGGCAGCAGCACCUUUCCCAGUUCUCUGCAGUAAAAAUAAGAAAGCUUCGUGGUAGGGCCAGCCCCAAAUAUACACAUGCCGAGAUUUUUUAAGUCCUUACAGACGUAGAUAUGUUCGUAAUAUAAAAAAGCUGGCUGGAUUUGCUAAAACUGCUGAGAUUCGUAAAUUUUGAGGGGAAACAAGGAGCUCCCGAGUUCUAGAUGUUCCCACCCCUCAAGAAUGAGAGGACAGGGCCUUCGAGGUGUUCCGGUUCCCAUCAUCCCCAAGCAGGGAUGAGCCUAGCUGGGGAUGACAGGUCCUGGAGUCAGCCCAAAGCCUGGAGCGCCACAUGUUUCUCCCUCCUUUAAAAAUCUUUAUUUUUUCUCAAGCAGUGGGUUUUGACCCACAAAAGCUUGCAUUGAAGUACUGUAAACCUGUUAGUGUGCUGUUGUUUGUUGUUAUGUGACGGUCAAGUCCCUUUGGACAUACGUUGGCCUUACGAAGGAGCGCUCUCCGAAACAUCCCGUUCUCAACAGCCCUGCUCAGCAACUCUAAACUUAAACCUGUGGUUUCCUUUAGGGAAUCUAUCCAUCUCAUAUUGGGGUUUUCCUCUUUUCCUGCUGCCUUCCACCUUUCCCUAGCAUGAUUUUAUUUUCCAGGGAAUCCUGUUUUCUCAGGAAGUGCCCAAAGUAGAACGGACUCAGUUUCAACCUCUUUUUUUUUUUGCCUCCGAGAGAGUUCAGGCCUUAUUUUGAUCUAGAACCCACCUAUUUGUCUUUCUGGCAGUCCCGUGUUUAUCUGCAAAGCAUAUUUUGUCUCUCUCUUCCUCCAUUGUUUAUUUCUCUUUCCCCCUUUAAUUUUGCCCGGUUUGUUUCAGGAUUUCACUCCUGGCCCACAGAAAGGCUUUCGGUGACCUCCAGAGGGUGCAAUUCAUCCUCUGGCUGUUCUUCUGUGUUAGAUGCAGUCAGGGUUUGUCCCAAGAGGGUUCAAACUGUCAAAGGGACGGGAAAUAGAAAUUAAAAUUCUAAAAAGAUAAUUUUUUUUUCCAGAAUAAAGAGAGAGAGAGAAAGAAUUCA